rnacentral:rRNA from 1 species
GAUCCUGGCUCAGAAUCAACGCUGGCGGCGUGCCUAACACAUGCAAGUCGCACGAGAAAGUGGAGCAAUCCAUGAGUACAGUGGCGCACGGGUGAGUAACACGUGACUUAUCUACCUCCGAGUGGGGAAUAACCUAGAGAAAUCUGGGCUAAUACCGCAUAACACUUACGAGUCAAAGCAGCAAUGCGCUUGGAGAGGAGGUCGCGGCAGAUUAGUUAGUUGGCGGGGUAAUGGCCCACCAAGACGAUGAUCUGUAUCCGGCCUGAGAGGGCGCACGGACACACUGGAACUGAAACACGGUCCAGACUCCUACGGGAGGCAGCAGUGGGGAAUUUUGCGCAAUGGGGGAAACCCUGACGCAGCAACGCCGCGUGGAGGAUGAAAUCCCUUGGGAUGUAAACUCCUUUCGAUUGGGAAGAUUAUGACGGUACCAAUAGAAGAA